ACAAGGCGAUGAUCAGUAGCCGGUCCUGAGAGGAUGAACGGCCACAUUGGGACUGAGACACGGCCCAGACUCCUACGGGAGGCAGCAGUGGGGAAUCUUCCGCAAUGGACGAAAGUCUGACGGAGCAACGCCGCGUGAGUGAAGAAGGUCUUCGGAUUGUAAAGCUCUGUUAUACGGGACGAAAAAAGACGGAUGCCAACAGUAUCCGUCCGUGACGGUACCGUAAGAGAAAGCCACGGCUAACUACGUGCCAGCAGCCGCGGUAAAU
rnacentral:rRNA from 1 species